rnacentral:rRNA from 1 species
GAGUUUGAUCCUGGCUCAGGAUGAACGCUAGCGGCAGGCCUUACACAUGCAAGUCGAGGGGUAACAGGGAAAAGCUUGCUUUUCCGCUGACGACCGGCGCACGGGUGCGUAACACGUAUGCAACCUACCUCUUACUGGGGGAUAGCCCAGAGAAAUUUGGAUUAACACCCCAUAGUAUCACCAGUUCGCAUGAUCAGGUGAUUAAAGGUUACGGUAAGAGAUGGGCAUGCGCCCCAUUAGCUAGUUGGUGAGGUAACGGCUCACCAAGGCUACGAUGGGUAGGGGGUCUGAGAGGACUAUCCCCCACACUGGUACUGAGACACGGACCAGACUCCUACGGGAGGCAGCAGUGAGGAAUAUUGCGCAAUGGACGAAAGUCUGACGCAGCCAUGCCGCGUGCAGGAUGACGGCGCUAUGCGUUGUAAACUGCUUUUAUAUGCCAAGAAACCUUCGGACGUGUCCGAAGCUGACGGUAGCAUAUGAAUAAGCACCGGCUAACUCCGUGCCAGCAGCCGCGGUAAUACGGAGGGUGCAAGCGUUAUCCGGAUUUAUUGGGUUUAAAGGGUCCGUAAGCGGAUCAUUAAGUCAGUGGUGAAAGCCGGCAGCU